CCGGCACUCAGGCCACCCUCAGGCUCUGGCAGGAGCUGUUCCAGAGCAGUCUCCAGCCAGUAGCAAACUCUUUGUGAAGAGUGUCCAGGCAGUGCCCCAUGAAGAGCUGCUGCAUUCAGGUCUAAGUUGAUAUUGCUCCUUCUGCUGAAGUGACAGCUCCUGGGUGAUGUGUGGCACUGCACAGCCAAGAAAUCUGCAUGCAGGAUGCGUUUUCUCCAGCACCACAGUUAACCACAAAGAGAUUUAGCAGAAUCUCUGAAUGUAUUUAUGUAUUUGGAAACCUGUUUUACCAAAAAUAUUUGAAUCUGAAAUGUGUGAUUCGUAUCCCAGCAAACUGACAUGCUCAAGGACAGCAUGGCCCAAAUGUACAGGAACCAUGGCACAGAUGCAGGUGAACCUAUUCAUAUGUGCCUGGGAAGUGUCAGACUUCUGGCCCCGAGCUCUGCUUUGGAAUACAGAGUGGAUCUACCUUUUGAGCUCUUGGGCUCUUAAGUCUGGACAUCACCUUUGACUCUGUGUUGCCAACUAAAUUAGGACAAAAAUAAAGGGGAAGGGAAGUUGGAACUCUACUGGAAGUAUGGAAUGGCACAUCCUAAAAAUAGAAGUGUAACAG